ensembl:lncRNA
GACUCUCUCUCUCUCUCUCUCUCUUUUUCUGACCCUCUACCUUUCUCUCUCCCUCUCUGUGCUGUUCUGAAUUUUACACGCUGUGUCUGAGAGUGGUUUUGGCAGUUCACACUCUGAUCCGCAAAGGGGCAAGUUCUUGCUGGUCUGUGAGCUCAUCAACACGGGUCAGGCUUCCUUUUCUGUUAGUCAGCUGCGUGGAAAAUUAUGGGCUGAAUCGUGUUCCCCCAAAUUCACAUGUUGAAGUCCUAAGCUUCAGAACCUCAGAAUGUGACUGCGUUUGGAGACAAGAUCUUUAAAGAGUUCCUGGCUCACAACUCCCCAAACCCUUGGAAUUUCCUAAAUGUUGAGAAUGAUAAAGGUGUCUUUUACUAUGUGAAUGAGGUGGAUUCUUUACCCGCUGAGCCCUCAGGGAAGCCCAGUAAAGAUCCAGAAGGACAGUUUUUUGGCCCCUUUUUACAUCAGGCAAACAGAAUGCUUCUAAGCGCCCCCUUGUGUGCCCAGGGCUUCAUGAAGAUGGAGCUUCUUUGGAACCUCGCUUUAUGUAUCUCUUCACCUGGCUGUUGAUUCAUAUCCUUUAAC